rnacentral:rRNA from 1 species
GACGAACGCUGGCGGCGUGCUUAACACAUGCAAGUCGAACGAUGAAGCUGGAGCUUGCUCCGGUGGAUCAGUGGCGAACGGGUGAGUAACACGUGAGCAAUCUGCCCUUGACUCUGGGAUAACUGCGGGAAACUGUAGCUAAUACCGGAUACGAGGCUCGAAGGCAUCUUCGGGUCUGGAAAGAAUUUCGGUCAAGGAUGAGCUCGCGGCCUAUCAGCUUGUUGGUGAGGUAAUGGCUCACCAAGGCGACGACGGGUAGCCGGCCUGAGAGGGUGACCGGCCACACUGGGACUGAGACACGGUCCAGACUCCUACGGGAGGCAGCAGUGGGGAAUAUUGCACAAUGGGCGAAAGCCUGAUGCAGCAACGCCGCGUGAGGGAUGAAGGCCUUCGGGUUGUAAACCUCUUUUAGCAGGGAAGAAGCGAAAGUGACGGUACCUGCAGAAAAAGCACCGGCUAACUACGUGCCAGCCGCCGCAGUAA